rnacentral:lncRNA from 1 species
UGGAGGUGGGUUACACAAGAGGAUGAGGGGAUUGAGAGAUGAUGGUGGAGGCAGCGACUGUUUGAAGCACAUUAAAAUAUUCAUCAUUGGUGCAGGUGUGAGGAUAACUAGUCAGACGUCAUGUUUCAGAAUCCCCCUUUCAAGGUUCCCUCCCCCACAGAUUCAACAUGUAUGUUUUUUCUCACCCCUCCCUCGAUUAAUACUUUUUGUCUACUAAUUUUUUCACAAUUCAGUUUUUCCAUGGGUUGGUCAAGAAAUUCGGCCCCGUGGGUUUUUCCAUGGAUGACUAGGAUGUUGGUCACUGUUUUUUCCUUUGUUGCACAUGAGUAUUAUUUUGUCAGCUGCAAAGCUGCAAUCAUGUUUGAAUCUGAGAGAGGUAGCAACUCGUUACUCCAACACACACUGAAAACACGGACUGUGAUACCGUGUGACUGUGUAUUUGAACAGGUUGAGAGCAUCCUUAAUAUAUAGAUAGGUUGUUUAUGGUCACUUAGUAACAAAUCAUAUUAUUAUAAUUCGGUUAUAUGAAGCUAUCACUUCAUUAGUUCACGAUCAUACUAGUUUUUACUCACUGUGCUUACAACGUUUUUUAUUGUCUUCCUUUUACUCAUUCCAGCACCUGUAUCUGAAGAACAUCAAAGGAGACGAUUGCACUAUCACACAAUAUGAGGCCAUGUUUGCAUAGCCGAAGACUUGCUCCCUCGCAAUAUUAGUUGUUGGUGGUAUUGUAUUGCAGAUUUUGGUAAGCUUGGACAUUUAACUUAGCGUCAACUUUUUUAUCCUUUUUCGACGUUGCCUAAAUGUAGUGCCCCAAGUGUAAAGCUUUUCCUUUUUGUAACCUUCCAUGUGGGAUCACCUUGACAUGUUA